AUUUGCAAACAAGUUGUUACCGUUACCGUGGCGAGCAGUUGUGCCGUCUGCGGCUGUCGUCCAACUGAGGGAAAAAUAACGUUAAUUCGCUGAUAAUCAUGGCGUUACCAAUGCUGCCUGGAAAUUCAGUCAACAGAAACCUUGGAAAAGACAAAUUUCACAAGUCUCAGCAUUUUGAUUAUUCAAAUGGAGUAGCUAUGAUGGUUGGGACAGAGAAGCCGGGCAUUGGAGGAGAUCUGCUCCUGGGACAGAGUGCAAGAGCCAAAUAUUCACGGUUUCCAAAAGGAGAGGGCAGUGGUGCUCCAGCAUGGCUUGCCUUUGACAAACAGGUCCUGUGUUUUGAUGCUUAUUUCAAUGAAGAUGUUCCUCAAAGGAGGGAAGAAAAAUAUAGAGUACGAAAGUGCAAGAUUUACUUCUACCUGGAGGAUGACACCAUACAAGUGGUGGAGCCAGAGUUCAAAAACAGUGGCAUCCCACAAGGAACCCUGAUUCGGCGCCACCGCAUUCCUCUACCAGCUCCUAAAGAUGAUUGUUUCUACAAUGUGCACCAUUUCAACAUCAACCAGGAAGUCGUGUUUUAUUCCAGAAACUUUAUGAUCACAGACUGUGACCCUUUCACUCGCAACUUUUUGAUAAAAAUGGGAGUCCGACUGAAUCCUCCUGCUUCCACACCAGCGGAUCCCUAUACUACCCUUCGACAAGAGGCAAAGAACAUGAAGCCACUGCGGCCGUAUGAAAGACUGGAUACCCUGAAGCAGUUUUUAGAGCAUGACCGCCAAGUCCUGCGCUUCUACUGCUACUGGGAUGAUAGUGAGAGCAUGUUUGGAGACCCUAGAGAGCUGAUCCUGCAUUACUUCCUGGCAGACGACACCAUGGAAAUGUACGAAGUUGUUCCUCCAAACUCUGGUCGAGACACUGUCCCUAAAUUUCUGCACAGGGGCAAGCUUCCCAAGCAUGCUCCUAUUCCCAAACGUCAGCCUGGAGAAAUUACAGACCGCACAGUCCUCAAUGUAUUUGGACCAGUCGGACAAGGAGGACGCUACAUUUUGGACAGCCUCAAAUUUAUUAGUCAAUUGUUAUGUAACUUUUUUCACUCACUGUUUACAGACUGGAGCAUUGGAAGAAGAGUUCUAUAAAGACUCUGAUCUGACUAUUGGAGCUGUCAUUAAUGUAUGGGGUCGAAGGGUGUUAAUAUGUGACUGCGACUACUUCACUAAAGAGUAUUAUCGCUCUAAAUAUGGGAUUGAGGACUUCCCAUCUAUCUCAUACAAGGCCUCACCUCCACCUAAACCAGCUAAGCAGGUGCCACCCUACACUGGAUUUGGAUCUGAGGAGGAUUCACUGUGUUCUUGCCAGGGUUUGCUGCCUAAACCCCCACAGAAGGAUUUCAAGAAGCUUAUGGAGAAAGACAGGCAAGGUCUGGUGAGCAACGUGCUGAGAUUUGUGGGGAAAAUGCUGACAGACAGUCCUGUCGACAAGGAACGUGUUUUUAUCAUAUGCUUCUACCUUACUGAUGACACAAUAGCUGUCUUUGAACCUCCACAGAGAAACUCAGGUGUGAUCGGGGGUAAGUUCUUAGAGAGGGGGCGAGUGAAGAAGCCAGGACAGGAGCUGUUUAAAAGUGAGAUGUCGGAGUAUUUCACUGCUCAGGAUUUGUAUGUUGGAGCUCAUCUGCUUCUGAACAGUCAACCUUUCCAGCUGGUGGAUGCUGACGAUUUUACAUUCAGCUAUAUGGAGCAGCAUGCAGAUGAGUUCCCCAAGGCCAACAUUGGCACCAUCAUUAGCAAGGUAAAAUCCAUCAGUGAGGAACAGCAGAAGAAAGUAAAACAGUUUUUCACCAUGAGUGACCCAAGCAGCACUGGCUCUCUUCCAUAUGAGUCAUUCAGGACUCUGUUGGCAGAUUUGGACGUGGAGUUGUCCGAACAUGAGAUCAUGACACUGGGUCGUGUUUAUUCGGUGCGGCAGCAGCCAGAGGUGAACGUGGGUCUCAUGCUUGCUGUGGCUCAGGAUCAUCUGAAGAAGAAAAACUUUGAGAAGUUCUCAGAAAUGAUCCAAGCUUUCACACAUGAGGACCGGGACAGAUGUGGCCAGCUCUCGUCUAAAGAGGCCCGGAUCAUCUGUAAGGCUUUUCGACUGCCCCUGUCUGAUGACCUGCUAAGAGCCCUUCUGGAGAAGUUUGCAGGCGAGUCAGAGAAGAUUGACUAUCACGCUUUUCUAUCCGGAAUCAACUGGAGAGAAAACCCCGUCCCCGCUGUGCUUCCAGAGGACACUGUAAAGUUUGACGCAGACUGGAGAGGAGAAGCUCCAGAGCCUGCAGUGAAAACCAUCAACUACUCGCUCUUACUGGAGGACGUCUUUGGCAGCGCCACAAACAUUAAUGACAGCUAAGAACGGCCUGAUGGGAUCCUCAAAAGCAUGAGAGAGGAAGUCAAGAAGUCUGCAGCACUUUGUGCACCGCAUUGAUUAAACUCACAUUGUCGUU